CCUCCCCACAUCUCCACAUUUCAGCUUGUACAAAGAACUGGAAGACAUGGAUUGCUCCAUGGCUUGUGUUAGCCUCAUGGAAGCCAAGUGGCAAAUCACCAGCUCCUGCCUUCUGAUAAGCCCUGGCUGACUGAGACAGCGGAGCUGACAGCAAAUGCUGAGAUUAUUUCUUACCAAAUUGAACAGCGUCGGAUCAUUGCUACAGCCAAAGUAAGAGUAUCAGAUUCUUUGUUCAUAACACACACCCAUUCCAAACCAUUGCAUAAUCAACCCAGAAUGAGUAUUUCAUAUCUGUGUCUGGGUCAUAAGUUUACUGACCCAACACUUGAAGGAAAACAAUUAGAAAUUUACUGCUCCACUGAAAUAACUAAUCACCCGUGCAUUAGGAAGGAAGACAACUGCAGUAUAAUCAUGAGAUAAAAAAGGCAAAAGCUGCUGCAAAUGAGAGAAAUAGAGAUAAUGAUGUAUUCCAGUUCCAUGCAGAUAACUGCAGAUAAGUAAUUACAGUGUGACUAUUGGAGUGUGGCCAUUUCUGUUCUUUUGCUAAAGUGUCUGUUACAUGUUUUUCUUCUUGACUGCGGAACAUGUUUUUUAUUGCCUGUGUUUAGGGUAAGAGCUGGAUAUUCAGAAACACUGACACUUACACAAGAAACUCUGGACCGCUUCCAUUGCAAGUCUUCCAGUUACAGUAAUGAGGGCAAAGUUUUGCACUGACAGUAAAAUUCUAAGUGUUCUAAAGCCUCUAAAAAUACAUCCUUGUUUAGAUGCACAUGAUGCGUUUGCAAGUAUCUACUUGUAACUGGGAGAUUUGUUACAUGGAAUUUCAGGCUCUGCAAUCCUGAAAAUGUUUAUGGAUAUGGUUAACUUUGCAUGUGG
rnacentral:lncRNA from 1 species